AUUGAACGCUGGCGGCAGGCCUAACACAUGCAAGUCGAGCGGAUGAAGGGAGCUUGCUCCUGGAUUCAGCGGCGGACGGGUGAGUAAUGCCUAGGAAUCUGCCUGGUAGUGGGGGAUAACGUCCGGAAACGGGCGCUAAUACCGCAUACGUCCUGAGGGAGAAAGUGGGGGAUCUUCGGACCUCACGCUAUCAGAUGAGCCUAGGUCGGAUUAGCUAGUUGGUGGGGUAAAGGCCUACCAAGGCGACGAUCCGUAACUGGUCUGAGAGGAUGAUCAGUCAAACUGGGACUGAGAAACGGUCCAGACUCCUACGGGAGGCAGCAGUGGGGAAUAUUGGACAAUGGGCGAAAGCAUGAUCCAGCCAUGCCGCGUGUGUGAAGAAGGUCUUCGGAUUGUAAAGCACUUUAAGUUGGGAGGAAGGGCAGUAAGUUAAUACCUUGCUGUUUUGACGUUACCAACAGAAUAAGCACCGGCUAACUUCGUG
rnacentral:rRNA from 1 species